rnacentral:lncRNA from 1 species
AUUUUCUGCUAUGUUGUAUACAUUGAGAAAGACAUUUUUAAUAGUAUAGAUAUGCAAUGAUUUCAAAAUAUAUGAAAACUCGUCGAGAAGAACUGUAUGCUAUCUCUAUUAGCUAGAACUUCUAUAAAAGGAAAAUUCUUGGUUCUCGAGUGUGCCCAAUUGGUGGAUGGGAGGUGGAAAUUGUCGAGCACCUAUUGCUCUUAUGGUCGUGGACUAAUGUUGUGUGGUUUGGUGCUCCUUCGAGCUAUAGAGUUGAUAUGCCGGGCUUUUGUUCUGUAGACAGACGGCUCAUGGGAGAUUAAUUUUCAGGGCAUUAGCAAGCGAGACUCAACUUCUGCUUAUAAGUAUUAGCUUCAUAUGCUGGGAAAUAUGGAAGACUCGGUGCAAUUUUAUCUUCGAAGGCAGCCAAAUUUAUCCCGUCUCACUAUUAAUCGAGCAAUGCAGACCUGCAUGGAAUAUUUAGAUGCUAAGGCUAGACCGCAUGUGCCUUUUGGGACAGCCCAGCCUCAGCUGAUCAAAUUAGGACUGCUCAAAUUUGGAGACCUCCAAUUCCAAAUUUUGUGAAAUUAUGGCUCGUGGAAAAAUGAUUCUCAUUUUGCAGGGCUAGGGGGUGAUUGCAACAGAUGAAUUGGGAUCCUUUUUUGGUGGAUUAGCAUCCCCUUACCAAUGCAACUCGGCUCUGGUGGCCGAGGAGUCUGCUAGCCUCUGUGCAAUCAAAUUCGCUUUAAACAAAAUUUCAUUGAUAUUGUUCUCG